rnacentral:tRNA from 1 species
GGUAUGGCUCAAGUGAUAGAGUGUCUGCCUAGCAAGCACAAUGCCCUGAGUUCAAAUCCCAAUACC